UACGUAGGGACCAAGCGUUGUCCGGAAUCAUUGGGCGUAAAGAGCGUGUAGGCGGCUUGUUAAGUCUUGCGUGAAAUCUCGGGGCUCAACCCCGAGCGGUCGUGAGAAACUGGCAGGCUAGAGUGCGGGAGAGGAGAGUGGAAUUCCUGGUGUAGUGGUGAAAUGCGCAGAUAUCAGGAGGAACACCUAUUGCGAAGGCAGCUCGCUGGGACGUUACUGACGCUGAGACGCGAAAGCGUGGGGAGCGAACAGG
rnacentral:rRNA from 1 species